GGGCUAAUACCGCAUACGUCCUUACGGGAGAAAGAGGGCCUCUGCUUGCACGCUCUCACUCCAGGAUGAGCCCACGUCCGAUUUAGCUAGUUGGUAGGGUAAAGGCCUACCAAGGCCACGAUCGGUAGCUGGUCUGAGAGGAUGAUCAGCCACACUGGGACUGAGACACGGCCCAGACUCCUACGGGAGGCAGCAGUGGGGAAUAUUGGACAAUGGGCGCAAGCCUGAUCCAGCAAUGCCGCGUGUGUGAAGAAGGCCUGCGGUUGUAAAGCACUUUCAGUGGGAAGAACAGAUUCGGGUCAAUACCCCGGAGCCCUGACGUUACCCACAGAAGAAGCACCGGCUAACUCCGUG
rnacentral:rRNA from 1 species